rnacentral:rRNA from 2 species
UUUAUAUGAGAGUUUGAUCCUGGCUCAGGAUGAACGCUGGCGGCGUGCCUAAUACAUGCAAGUCGAACGAGUUCUGAUUAUUGAAAGGUGCUUGCAUCUUGAUUUAAUUUUGAACGAGUGGCGGACGGGUGAGUAACACGUGGGUAACCUGCCCUUAAGUGGGGGAUAACAUUUGGAAACAGAUGCUAAUACCGCAUAAAUCCAAGAACCGCAUGGUUCUUGGCUGAAAGAUGGCGUAAGCUAUCGCUUUUGGAUGGACCCGCGGCGUAUUAGCUAGUUGGUGAGGUAACGGCUCACCAAGGCAAUGAUACGUAGCCGAACUGAGAGGUUGAUCGGCCACAUUGGGACUGAGACACGGCCCAAACUCCUACGGGAGGCAGCAGUAGGGAAUCUUCCACAAUGGACGCAAGUCUGAUGGAGCAACGCCGCGUGAGUGAAGAAGGCUUUCGGGUCGUAAAACUCUGUUGUUGGAGAAGAAUGGUCGGCAGAGUAACUGUUGUCGGCGUGACGGUAUCCAACCAGAAAGCCACGGCUAACUACGUGCCAGCAGCCGCGGUAAUACGUAGGUGGCAAGCGUUAUCCGGAUUUAUUGGGCGUAAAGCGAGCGCAGGCGGUUUUUUAAGUCUGAUGUGAAAGCCCUCGGCUUAACCGAGGAAGUGCAUCGGAAACUGGAAAACUUGAGUGCAGAAGAGGACAGUGGAACUCCAUGUGUAGCGGUGAAAUGCGUAGAUAUAUGGAAGAACACCAGUGGCGAAGGCGGCUGUCUGGUCUGUAACUGACGCUGAGGCUCGAAAGCAUGGGUAGCGAACAGGAUUAGAUACCCUGGUAGUCCAUGCCGUAAACGAUGAAUGCUAGGUGUUGGAGGGUUUCCGCCCUUCAGUGCCGCAGCUAACGCAUUAAGCAUUCCGCCUGGGGAGUACGACCGCAAGGUUGAAACUCAAAGGAAUUGACGGGGGCCCGCACAAGCGGUGGAGCAUGUGGUUUAAUUCGAAGCAACGCGAAGAACCUUACCAGGUCUUGACAUCUUUUGAUCACCUGAGAGAUCGGGUUUCCCCUUCGGGGCAAAAUGACAGGUGGUGCAUGGUUGUCGUCAGCUCGUGUCGUGAGAUGUUGGGUUAAGUCCCGCAACGAGCGCAACCCUUAUGACUAGUUGCCAGCAUUUAGUUGGGCACUCUAGUAAGACUGCCGGUGACAAACCGGAGGAAGGUGGGGAUGACGUCAAAUCAUCAUGCCCCUUAUGACCUGGGCUACACACGUGCUACAAUGGAUGGUACAACGAGUUGCGAGACCGCGAGGUCAAGCUAAUCUCUUAAAGCCAUUCUCAGUUCGGACUGUAGGCUGCAACUCGCCUACACGAAGUCGGAAUCGCUAGUAAUCGCGGAUCAGCACGCCGCGGUGAAUACGUUCCCGGGCCUUGUACACACCGCCCGUCACACCAUGAGAGUUUGUAACACCCGAAGCCGGUGGCGUAACCCUUUUAGGGAGCGAGCCGUCUAAGGUGGGACAAAUGAUUAGGGUGAAGUCGUAACAAGGUAGCCGUAGGAGAACCUGCGGCUGGAUCACCUCCUUUCUAAGGAA